GUGAGCAUAGCUCAGUUGGUAGGACAAUGCAUUAUUAUAUCCAGGGGCCGGGGUUCGAAGCCCGGAUGUAACG
rnacentral:tRNA from 1 species